AAACUUUACAGACGAUGAAACAGGCUCACAGUUGACAGGUAAUUUUUGCAGAAAUCACAAAGUCAAAUUGGCUUCUGGAGUCUGCUGCUCUAUCAUGAUGCCUCCAUGUCACCACUAUUAACUUUGCCUGAAGGAACCAUGACUUGCAGUUUCUACCCCACGUGGUCAGUGACCAUGAAUACAAAUGACCCUUACUCCAGGUGAUUCUGAAGUUUCAGGGAGAUGACAGAUUCCCCCUAAAUUUUGAACAGUAAUAUUAAUUACAGGUAAUAAAAUAUACCAAAACAUCACUACAAAAAUUUAGCAUUACUUCAUCAAGAGGAAUAAACUGAAACUGUCAGUUUCUUGGAAGCGUGAGAGGAUAGUUCAUCCUGCUUUCUAAUACCCACCACCUAUUUGUGACUAUAAACUUCCCACCACUUAUUUAUGGUUCAAGCCUAGGGCAAGAGCUAGCAUUUUAUUUUAAAAAAGAUUUGUUUAAUAAUUUUUCCAUUUGGACAAUGUGAUGGUUAAUACUAGGUGUCAAGCUGAUUGGAUUAAAGGAUGCAAAGUAUUAAUCCUGAGUGUUGUCUGUGAGGGUGUUGCCAAAGGGAUUAACAUUUGAGUCAGUGGGCUGGGGAAGGCAGACCCACCCUUUAUCUGGUAGGUACCAUCUAAUCAGCUACCAGCGAAUAUAAAGCAGGCAGAAAAACCUGAAAAGGCGAGACUGGCCUAGCCUCCCAACCUACAUCUUUCUCCUGUGCUGGAUGCUUCCUGCCCUUGAACAUCACACUCCUAGUUCUUCAGUUUUGGAACUUGGACUGGCUCUCACUGCUCCUCAGCCUGCAGAUGGCCUAGUGAUCGUGUAAGGUAAUACUUAAUAAGCAUCCAUCCAUCCAUCCCAUCCAUCCAUCCAACCAUCCAAUUAGUUCUGUCCCUCUAGAGAACCCUAAUACAAACAGGUAGUGGAAUAUUGAAAGAAAUUUUAUUGGAGCAGCCCAAAAAAGCAUAUGUAACUUAGAGUAAUAGUAAUUAAAUAAGACAGUGAAAUUAAAUAAGAAAAACAUAUUUAGACAGAGUAACAUACCAAGUUUAGUUUCGGGAGAGUUAAGCAGCUGCUCUAAAGACUGUGUGUAUGUGCUGGCGGAAGACACAGACUCCGUAUCAGUUGUCUCCAUGCCUUCUCCCUCUUCCCGGGUUACAGUGUGCAUGUCUAGAAGCGGGAGGUCUGUGUUUCUCCUUUCUCGAAGGUUCUUCAAAGAUUGUUGAGAGGAAACUGGGCCUAUUAGAUUUUUUUAAAAGGUUAAGUGUGAGAUUGUUCAAAAUCUAUUGAUUUGGCCUUACAGAGAUACACAAUAAAAUGAAAAUAUCAAAUGAUAAGAGUAGAGGAAUUAAGUAACUAUAAGAUAAGUGAAAGGUGUAUGAAGAAUUGCUAAAGCAUUUCUUAAAAUUUAGUCAUCAAAGCUGGGCGUGGUGGCUCAAAUCUGUAAUCCUAGCAGUUUGGGAGGCUAAGGUGGGUGGAUCACGAGGUCAGCAAGUUCAAGACCAGCCUGGCCAAGAUGGUGAAACCCUAUCUCUACUAAAAAUACAAAAAUCAGCCAGGCACGGUGGCAGGUGCCUGUAAUCCCAGCUGCUGGGGAGGCUGAGGCAGAGAAUUGCUGGAAACCAGGAGGCGGAGGUUGCAGUGAGCCAAGAUCACACCACUGCACUCCAGCCUGGCGACAGAGUGAGACUCCAGCUCAAAAACAAAACAAACAAACAAAAACUUAGUAAUCAAACUUUUAAAUACGUUACUCAUUUUAAUAGAAGCUAUAAAUUAAUUGCUACUAGCUAAGAUAAACUGUUAGAUAACACAGCUCAUAAUAUAGUACUACUUAUUUUUUAUUAAUUUAGAGUAGAGGGCCAAACUACUGCUAAAUACUGGCCAAAAUUAAAAGACUAGAUUCUAGCAAUUUUUCAGGAUUAGGUAUUUCAGAUUGCUGCAUACUUCUUGAAACACACUUGUUGAAAUCUGCUUGGCAGACAUCCUCAAUCACUGCCCUUAUACCUUUACCUCUGCAGCUUCUUAAUUGUUGCUGCUCACACCUACAGUGCUCAUACAGUAAGAGCCCAGAAUCCAGGGCACGGAACUAAUCAAUUACAUUGUCUAGCAAGACUUUCCUGUUUGCUGAUAAACUGUAUAGUGUUUUUUUUUUUUCUGAGACAGGGUCUCACUCUGUCACACAGGUUGGAGUGUAGUGGCACGAUCUUGGCUCACAGCAACCUCUGCCUCCCAGGCUCAGGCCAUCCUCCCACCUCAGCCCCACAAGUAGCUGGGACUUCCAGGUGCAUGCUAUCCCACCCAGAUAAUUUUUGUACUUUUAAUAGAGAUGGGAUUUCACCAUGUUGUUCAGACUGGUCUCAAACUCCUGGCCUCAUGUGAUCCACCUGCCUUGGCUCCCAAAGUGCUGAGAUUGCAGGGGUGAGACACCACGCCUGGUCUAAACUGUAAAGUUUACCAGGCCCUUUGACAUGUAUUGGUUUAUUGACUCCCAAAAAUCUGAAGUUCAGAGAAAUUUAAUGACUUUGCCCAAGGUCUCAUAACUGAGUUAGAAACCAGAAUUGUAAUCUAGAUUUUUAAACUUCAGAUUUCAUUUAUUUUGCAUUUCAUUAAGUUGCCUUAGUCCUGACUGCCCUUUUUGAAGCUUUUUCCUGGGUUUCUGGUAAGCUGACUGCUUAUUCCACUGCUGAUUGCUAGAUUACAAUCUCUUGUGCGACCUUUGCCCUGGCUGAUUACUUCCUUUGUUGAUUCUUUGGCAUAUGUUAAAUUCUU
rnacentral:lncRNA from 1 species